rnacentral:rRNA from 1 species
UACGAAGGGGGCUAGCGUUGUUCGGAAUUACUGGGCGUAAAGCGCGCGCAGGCGGUCCUUCAAGUCAGAGGUGAAAGCCCCGGGCUCAACCUGGGAAUUGCAUUUGAGACUGCGUAGCUAGGGUGCGGAAGAGGGAAGCGGAAUUUCCGGUGUAGCGGUGAAAUGCGUAGAUAUCGGAAGGAACACCAGUGGCGAAAGCGGCUUCCUGGUCCAGCACCGACGUCAGGCACGAAAGCGUGGGGAGCAAACAGG